rnacentral:rRNA from 1 species
GACGAACGCUGGCGGCGUGCUUAACACAUGCAAGUCGAACGGAAAGGCCCUGCUCUUGUGGGGUGCUCGUGUGGCGAACGGGUGAGUAACACGCGAGUAACCUGCCCCUGACUUUGGGAUAACAUCAGGAAACUGGGGCUAAUAUCGGAUAGGAGCUCCUGCUGCAUGGGGGGGGAUGGAAAGUUUCGGCGGUUGGGGGUGGGCUCGCUGGUUAUCAGCUUGUUGGUGGGGUGGUGGCUUUCCAAGGCUUCGAAGGGUAGGCGGCCUCGGCGGGUGACCCGCCACACUGGCACUGAGAUACGGCACCGACUCCUACGGGUGGCAGCAGUGGGGAAUAUUGCACGAUGGACGGAAGCCGAAUGAAGCAACGCCGCGGGCGGGAAGACGGCCUUCGGGUUGUAGACCGCUUUCGCAUGUGACGGAGCGUGAGUGACGGUAAUGGGUAAAGAAGCACCGGCUAACUUCGUU